UCCGCAGCUGGGCAGCGGCGGCUUCAGCACCGUCUUCUCGGGCAUCCGCCUCUCGGACGGCAGCCCGGUGGCCCUCAAACGCGUGGCCCGGGAGAGCGUCCUGCAGUGGGACGAGCUGGUGAGCGAGCGGG